rnacentral:rRNA from 1 species
AUUGAACGCUGGCGGAAUGCUUUACACAUGCAAGUCGAACGGCAGCACGGACUUCGGUCUGGUGGCGAGUGGCGAACGGGUGAGUAACAUAUCGGAACGUAUCCAAUAAUGGGGGAUAACUAAUCGAAAGGUUGGCUAAUACCGCAUACGCCCUACGGGGGAAAGCAGGGGAUCUUCGGACCUUGCGUUAAUGGAGCGGCUGAUAUCUGAUUAGCUAGUUGGUGAGGUAAAGGCUCACCAAGGCGACGAUCAGUAGCUGGUCUGAGAGGACGACCCGCCACACUGGAACUGCGACACGGUCCAGACUCCUACGGGAGGCAGCAGUGGGGAAUUUUGGACAAUGGGCGCAAGCCUGAUCCAGCCAUUCCGCGUGAGUGAAGAAGGCCUUCGGGUUGUAAAGCUCUUUCGCAAGGGAAGAAAACUUACUUUCUAAUAAAGAGUGAGGUUGACGGUACCUUGAUAAGAAGCACCGGCUAACUACGUGCCAGCAGCCGCCGUAA